GUCCACGCCCUAAACGAUGUCAACUAGUUGUUCGGAGAGGUAACUUUCUGGGUAACGCAGCUAACGCGUGAAGUUGACCGCCUGGGGAGUACGGCCGCAAGGUUAAAACUCAAAGGAAUUGACGGGGACCCGCACAAGCGGUGGAUGAUGUGGAUUAAUUCGAUGCAACGCGAAAACCUUACCUACCCUUGACAUGCCUGGAAUCCCUGAGAGAUCGGGGAGUGCCUUCGGGAGCCAGGACACAGGUGCUGCAUGGCUGUCGU
rnacentral:rRNA from 1 species